GCCCAGAUGGUGGAAUGGGAGACACAAGGGACUUAAAAUCCCUCGCCAUAGGUGCGUACGAGUUCGAGUCUCGUUCUGGGUA
rnacentral:tRNA from 1 species